AAUAAGUGGAUCGUUUUCUGUUGCCUCGCGUUUUUUCAGAUUUUCUUUCUUUGCCGCUCUGUUUCCUUCUAUUAAUUGUGGUAGUUCAUUUAUCAUUGCCAGCGAAGAAUAUAAUAUGGCUUGAUUGAGGCCCAGCAAUUGUAGAACGAAUGAUAAAAUUCGUU
rnacentral:ribozyme from 13 species